AUGCAUGUCUAAGUACGGCUCUUGUACAGUGAAACUGCGAAUGGCUCAUUAAAUCAGUUAUGGUUCCUUAGAUCGUAAACUCUUUACUUGGAUAACUGCAGUAAUUCUGGAGCUAAUACAUGCUAAAAACCCCGUMCUUYGGACAGGGUGCUUUUAUUAGAACAAAACCAAACCCGCUCGCGGGUUCUCGGAUGACUCUGGAUAACUUUGUUGAUCGCACGGCCUUGAGCCAGCGACGUAUCUUUCAAAUGUCUGCCCUAUCAACUGUCGAUGGUACGUGCUAUGCCUACCAUGGUUAUAACGGGUAACGGAGAAUCAGGGUUCGAUUCCGGAGAGGGAGCAUGAGAAACGGCUACCACA
rnacentral:rRNA from 1 species